GCCUCAUUGGCUCAGGGGCACAGCGUCUGUCUUGUAAACAGAAGGUCGCUGGUUCGAUUCCAGCAUGAGGCA
rfam:Angiostrongylus costaricensis strain Costa Rica genome assembly, scaffold: ACOC_contig0002829